rnacentral:tRNA from 5 species
GCCAAUGUGGCUCAGGGGUAGAGCAGCUCACUCGUAAUGAGCAGGUCGUCGGUUCGAUUCCGACCAUUGGCUCCA